rnacentral:rRNA from 1 species
ACUGAACGCUGGCGGCAGGCCUAACACAUGCAAGUCGAACGGCAGCACAGAAGAGCUUGCUCUUUGGGUGGCGAGUGGCGGACGGGUGAGUAAUGUCUGGGAAACUGCCCGAUGGAGGGGGAUAACUACUGGAAACGGUAGCUAAUACCGCAUAACGUCGCGAGACCAAAGUGGGGGACCUUCGGGCCUCACACCAUCGAAUGUGCCCAGAUGGGAUUAGCUAGUAGGGGGGGUAAUGGCUCACCUAGGCGACGAUCCCUAGCUUGUCUGAGAGGAUAACCAGCCACACUGGAACUGAGACACGGUCCAGCCUCCUACGGGAGGCAGCAGUGGGGAAUAUUGCACAAUGGGCGCAAGCCUGAUGCAGCCAUGCCGCGUGUAUGAAGAAGGCCUUCGGGUUGUAAAGUACUUUCAGCGGGGAGGAAGGCGGUGAGGUUAAUAACCUCGCCGAUUGACGUUACCCGCAGAAGAAGCACCGGCUAACUCCGUGCCAGCAGCCGCCGUAA